rnacentral:rRNA from 1 species
AUUGAACGCUGGCGGCAGGCCUAACACAUGCAAGUCGAGCGGCAGCGGGAAAGUAGCUUGCUACUUUUGCCGGCGAGCGGCGGACGGGUGAGUAAUGCCUGGGGAUCUGCCCAUUCUAGGGGGAUAACUACUGGAAACGGUAGCUAAUACCGCAUACGCCCUACGGGGGAAAGCCGGGGCACUUCGGGCCUUGCGCGAAUGGACGACCCCGGGUGGGAUUAGCUAAUUGGUGAGGUAAUGGCUCACCAAGGCGACGAUCCCUAGCUGGUCUGAGAGGAUGAUCAGCCACACUGGAACUGAGACACGGUCCAGACUCCUACGGGAGGCAGCAGUGGGGAAUAUUGCACAAUGGGGGAAACCCUGAUGCAGCCAUGCCGCGUGUGUGAAGAAGGCCUUCGGGUUGUAAAGCACUUUCAGCGAGGAGGAAAGGUUGGUAGCUAAUAACUGCCAGCUGUGACGUUACUCGCAGAAGAAGCACCGGCUAACUCCGUGCCAGCCGCCGCUGUAA